GGGUUGGGUGGUCAGCCCAGGGGUGUAAAAGGACAAGGAGGUGAGGCAGGCUUUGGAGAAGCCACAUGAGAAAUACACGUAAAGAGGCUCCAAAAGGGAUAUAUGAGACCCAAAUAUUUUGGAGGUUUAUAGAUCAACUUUUUUGCCAAAGUAGCUUUAUGAUCAAAAUGUCAGAUCCUGCCCUGUAAAAUAUGUAUUUUCACUGAAAUAGCAACUGUUCUACAAAAAGUUUCACACCAGAAAAGGAUUACUAGCUCAUCUAGGAUUAAUGUUCACUCUUCAAAAGAUACCUACCAUAAGACCCAAAGACACAUGUAAAAGAUGACACCAAUGACUCUAAAAUGUAAAUGUUUGUGUUUUAAUAGAGAAAAUUCUAAUAGCAGUGAUUCAUGUCACUAGGCUAUCCAUAACUCCAAAGGAGAACAAGUAUUUCCAAAAACAAAUUUAAAUUAAAAGGCUUCUUUUCUGCAGAGAGAAAUCCACAUUUUCAGACUUUGUAACCAAAGUUACAAAACGGAAAAGCUGCAGGUCUGACUAAUAUGGACUGCUGACCUUAGGAAAAUCCAGGCUGUAUUUCUGACUAUGACUACUAAUUAUACAUCCACUUUUAAAAAUAAAUUUCUUACUUCGACUAAUUUUAGAUUUACAAAAGUUUACAAAGGUAGAAUUCCCAUAUACCCCUCACCCAGUUCCGUUUCCCCUAAUGUUACCAUCCUAUUUUAUAGUGGUACAGUGUCAAAAGUAAGAAACUCAACAUUGGUAUAUGACUAUUAACUAAACUCCAGACUCGAUUCAGAUUUCACUAGUUCUUCCAUUCAUGUCCUUCUGUUCCAAGGUCUCAUCCAGAAUAAUACAUUGCACUUAGCUGUCAUGUUUCUCUACUGUCCUGUUCUAUCAGUUUUUGAGUCUCCCCUUGUUUUUCAUACCUUGACAAUCUUGAGAAGUACUAGCCAGGGUAGACAGAGUGUAGCAAUAAUAACCAAACAUUUACAAAAGAAUUAACAUCAAUCCUCAAAUUCUUCCAAAAAAUAGAACAGGAGGGACACUUCCUAAAUUAUUCCACAAAGCCAGCAUUACCCCUAUAUCAAAGCCAGAUAAAACAUCACACACACAAAAAAAACUGAAAACCAAUAUACUUUAUGAGCAUAGAUGCAAAUUUCCUCAACAAAAUACUGGCAAGCUGAAUACAGCAGCAUAUAAAAAUUGUACAUCAUGACCAAGUGGGAUUUAUGCCAGAACUGCAAAGGUGGUUCGACGCACAAAAAUCAAUUAGUAUAAUAUACCCAACAUUAACAGGAUGAAGGAGGAAAAAAAUGAUCAUCUGAUUGAUACAGAGAAAGCAUCUGACAAAAUCUAACACCCGUUUGUGAUGAAAACACUCAAACUGGCAACAGAAGAGAACUUCCUCAACAUGGUAAAGGGCAUUAAAAAAAAAAACCACAGCAAACAUUAUACCCAAUGGCGAACGACUGAAAGCUUUCCCCCUAAAAUCAUAAACAAGGAUUCCCACUUUCGCCAUUUAUAUUAAACAUUGUACUGGAGUUCUAGCCAGAGCAAUUAGUCAAGAAAAAGAAAAAAAGGCGUCCAUGUUGAAAAGGAAAACAUAAAAUUAUCAUUUAUUCACAGAUGGCAUGAUCUUCUAUAAAGAAAAUCCUAAAGAAUCCACUUUAAAAAAAAAAAGUAUUAGUUAAUAAACAAAUUAGCAAAGCUACAGGGUACAGCAUCAACACAAAACUUAGUUGUAUGGCUAAAUACUAGCAAUAAAAAAUCCAAAUAUGAAAUAAAAAAAAAUUUAAUUUAUAACAAUACCAAAAAUAAAAUAUUAAGGGAAAAUUUAACCCAAAAAGGCACAGGACUUACACACUGAAAACUAUAAAACACUGCUGGAAUAAAUUAGAGACGGCCUAAAGAAAUGGAAAAACAUCUUAUGUUCAUGGAUUAGAAGACUUAAUAAUGUUAACAUGGCAAUACUCUCCAAAGUGGCCAAGAGUCAGUGCAAUCCUUAUCAAAAUCCUACUGACUGUUUGCAAAAAUAGAAAUGUUGAUCCUGAAAUUCAUGUGCAAUUGCAAGGGACCCUAAAUAACCAAAAUAAUCUUGAAAAAGUUGGGAGAAUUCAUAUUUCUGAUUUCAAAACUUGCUACAAAGCUACAGUAAUCAAAACAGUGUGGAAAGACCUGUAUACCAAUGCAACAGAACUGAGAGUCCAAAAAUAAAAUCUCACAUUUAUGGUCAAUUAAUUUUCGAAAACUGUGCCGAGACCAUCAACAGGGAAAGAAUUUGUUGAAAGACUAUUAGAAGACUAAUAAUCCCUCAACAAAUUGUGCAAAGACAACUGGAUAGCCACAUGAAAAAGAAUGAUGUUAAAUUCUUGCCUCAAAUUAACUCAAAAUGGAUCCAAGAUCUAAACAUAAGAGCUUAAACUAUAAAACUCUUAAGAAGUAAACACGGGAAAAUCUUCAUGAUCUUGAAAUUAGUAAGGGGUUUUUAUUUAUGACACCAAAAGCUUAAGCAACAAAAGAAUAAACAACUUCGAAAUUUAAAAAAUUUGUGCAAAGGACAGUAUUAAGUGAACAAUCCACAGAAAGAGACAAUAUUUGCAAAUCAUAUCUAAUAAAGAUCUAGUAUCCAGAAUAUAUAAAGAAUUCCUACAACUCGACCAAAAAAAGCCUGAUUCAAAAAUUGGCAAAGGGUCUACGGCCAAGCUACUCUGAACAAGCCCCAUCCCGUCUGAUCUCGGAAGCUAAGCAGAGUCAGGACUGGUUAGUACUUGGACAGGAGACCAGAAAGGAAGACCAAGUGCUUGCUGUAGGCAUAAAAAAAAAAGGGACUGUAAGCUGACAAGGUCCUUGCAAUCUGUGAGGUGACCAAGGGCUGCCUCGCCUAAAAAAAAAAAAAAAUUGGCAAAGGACUUGAAAAAACAUUUCUCCAAACAAGAUACACAAAUGGCCAACUAGCACAUGAAAGAUGCUCAACCUCAUUAGCCAUUAGAGAAAUGACACUCAAAAGCACAAUGCGAUACCACCUACUAGGAUGACCACACCCAAAAAAAUCAGAAUAUAACAAGCAUUGGCAAGGAGGUAGAGAAACAAACAUAUGCUGCAGGUGGGAAUGUAAAAUGGUACAGUAAAUACGGAAAAAAGUUUGGUGGCUCUUCAAAGCUUUUAAAAAAACAUAACAUAGAAUUGCCACAUGACCCAGCAAUUCCACUCUAACAAAUGUAUCCAAAAAAAACUGAAAACAAAUAUUCAAUCGAAUAGCUGUACACAAAUGCUCAAGGCAGCAUAUUGACAACAGCCAAAAGGUGGUAACAACCCCAAAGUCUAUCAGUGAGUGAAUGGAUAAAUGAAAUGUAAUGAUAUUCAUACAAUGCAAUAUUAUUCAGCAAUAGAAAGGAAUGAAGUAGUGAUACAUGUUACAACUAUGGAUGAACCUUGAAAACAAUAUGCUAAGUAAAAGCAGCUAGAUACAAAAGUUCACAUAUUGUGUGAUUCUAUUUAUAUGAAACAUCCAGAAUAGGCAAAUCCACAUACAGAACGCUGCCUAGUGGUUGCCAAGGACUUGGGGGGAAAGUGAAUUGGAAAUGGCUCCUUAUUGGGUACGGGGUUUCCUUUUGGGGUGAUGGAAAUGGAACUUAAUAAGGUGAUGGUUGCACAAUGCUGUUAAUCUACCAAAUGCCGCUGAACACUACACUUUAAAAUAGUUAAUGGUUAAUUUAUAGUAUGUGAAUUUUACAAUUGUUUUAAUGGGAAAAAAGUUCCAGAAGGAAAAAUCUUUUGGAAAACUAGUGAAAAACAUAAAAGCAAAGCUUAAAGAAAAUACAACUCAAGGGCAUUAAAAUACUAAAAUUUUAGAGUUCAAUUUAGACAUACACUUCUGGUAUUUUCAAAAUUUCUGAAUAAUUAUGCCUGAAAGACUUAAUGUACAAUGUAAAAGGUUCAGUCAUUCUGUUAUACACAAGACAGUGAAGGUACAUUACUCAAUUCACCAUGUUUUAAAACGAGUUAAGUUGUAUGCAGAACUGAUGGCCUGUCUGACAGUAACACAACAGCAACCAACUGAUGACUAUUAGUAUGGGACAGAUAUUUGGCUAACUCACACUUUCGAAUUUUCACAACCAUCCUUCCCUUUUUCUUUUUUUUUUUAACAGAUGAAGAUAAAUGGGCUCAUAGAGGCCCCCCAAGACCAAUUAAUUGUUACUUGGUAGAAAAGGAUUUCAAACAUUUGUAUCUCAACUCUAUGGACAAACCUGUGAGAUCAUGAUCAAGUUAUUUAACUUCUCCAAAUCUCAAUUUCCUUAUCUGUAGAAUGGAAAUGGUUGUUGUGAGAAUUAAAUAAUAAUACUGUCCCUAUGAUGGAAUAUAAAGCCCUACAAAAAAUAUGUACGAUGUUCUCAUCCUUAAGGAUGGCUACCAAGUAUUUCAGGGUAAUGUGUCUCCAACUUAUUUUCAAAUAGCUCCAAAAAAAUAAAUACACACCGCACCGAUGUAUAAAGAAAACAUGGCAAGACAUUAACUGUUGGAUUUGGAUGUAUAAACAAGGGUAAUUUUACUAUUCUUUCAACUUUUUAACAUUAAAAAUUUUUCAUAAUAAAAAGUUGGAAAAAAUUAAGAAGCAUUUCCUUUCCUAGUUUGGACCAACUCAAAUAUAUUGUCAAGCAAGGAAAACAAAGUAUGUGUGUCCCUAGAAUAAAAUAUCCUUGGAAGAAUACAUAAGAAAAUAUCUACUACAUUUGUGUCAGUAACUAAAGUAUAAAAGUAGAAGAUUUUUCAUCAGUUAUUACUCUAGCUCUACCAUUUUUUCAAAUAUUUUAUAACCUUUUGUAACUUUUUAAUUAAACCAUAAAAUUUGUCCUCUUCUAAUACAUAAUACUGAAUGGCCUAUUCGUCAGAAACUGUCCCGAAUCCGAAAAUGAAAUCCACGUAAAGGGCAGCUCUCAUCGGGUUACAAUCCUGAAAUGUUUGAAAGCAUUUUUCCUCAUUUAAAAGCAAAACAAAACCAAAAAACCAGGGGAAAAAAAUCCAAGUAAAAUUUAUCCCAUAAUGAGUACGAAAUAUGAGAUCAUUUAUAACAAUUUCCUAUUACUGUCCAUAACCAUCUCCUUUACAAAACAACAUAAGAAAAUUGGUAAUAAACCAAUUUCAAUCACUUUGAGCUAACAUGUGGUUCAUUCUACCAGAUUCCUCCUCUAUUAAAUUUAACGACUGUAUAACAGGUAGAACAGUAAAACACUGUACUCAAGAACUACUCAAGAGAUUUCGAUUUCCUUUAUAUUCCCCAAAUUCUGUUAUUUUAUCUCCUUAACAUCCAAAAAUUUAUCACCACUUGAAAAUGGAUAAUGAAUAACUGCCAUAUACAAAACCCAAAUCCUGAAAGUAUCAAGCAGAAAAACACCAAAUUCAUUCUUAAAUUGUCUAAACGUAUAAAGUUACACAAGCCUUAAAAGUAAACUCCAGUAAACUGGAAAAAGAAAAUUACAGAACGACACUGCCAAUGUACCUCUCCUACGUUAAUAAAGCGUUUAGAACAGGAAGAUGCUCACACAAAUUAGUAACUAAAACGUGUACACUAAUUAAAAGGCUUCGCUGAAAACAGAGUGAAGAAAAACUGAGGCCAACGUGAUGGGGACAGGAAUGAAUCAUUUUGGACUCAAAAAGAACUACCACGGACAUUCCAAAACUACUUGAACACAUGCAGAGCCCCAGCGCUAAUACUGCAAUGAGAAAACCGUCUAGGAAGAGGGAGUUAAACAAACGCCUCUGACACCCCAGUUGAAAACGACUAUAACCCACAGAAGUAAGCUCCUGAGCAGCUCGGCGGGCACUCGGAGGUUUGGUUCCCCGCCGCAGUCCCCGAACACCUCUGUCCACCCCUCCCCUCCACCAGGGGGGUGGGAGGAGUGCCCGGAAAGCUCCGCCCCCUCUCCGCCAGAGAGCCAAGCGGGUGCAGGGGGAGGCAGCACGAGGCCGAGGAGAAGGGAAAGCCCGCCCAGGUGACUGGAGGCGGAGACAGUCUGGGAAGGGGGCCGCUGUACCGCACGAAAGAUGGAGCCCCCCCUCCCCGCCCCAGUCCGUACGGAACUGGGACUAGGAGGAAAAAGGUGCAAAGGAGCAUGAGAGGGGCCCCCACUACAGGUUUUCAAGCGGAACGCGAACUGCUGUGGACUCAUUGGCUGCCUCGGAAGACGGAAGCAAAAAGUGAAGACUACGAUCAGAGCGCCUGCAGUGCAAUCCAGUAUUGUAGGCGCUUGAUACCUUCUCAGUACCUUAAUAUACCCUGUGUGACAGAGAAAAAAAGCCUUUAUUUUUUCUCUCAUUAUUGAUUGAACAUAUCAGGACCUAAGAAAGCAUUUUCCACAAGCAUAUAAGAAAUCACAGCACUCAUUAAAAAGAAGCCUCUGGUUUU